rnacentral:rRNA from 1 species
UACGUAGGGUCCAAGCGUUAUCCGGAAUCACUGGGCGUAAAGCGUGCGUAGGUGGCGUGUUAAGUGUGAUGUUAAAUCGUGGGGCUCAACCCUGUCGGUGCAUCACAUACUGGCAUGCUAGAGGACGGCAGAGGCAAGUGGAAUUUGUAGUGUAGCAGUGAAAUGCGUAGAUAUUACAAGGAACACCAAUGGCGAAGGCAGCUUGCUGGGCCACUCCUGACACUGAGGUACGAAAGCGUGGGGAGCGAACAGG